rnacentral:snRNA from 1 species
UUAUUUACAUGGCAGAGGAAAUAGCAUGAUCACAGAGGUGGUUUUCCCAGGUUGAAGCUCAGCCACUGCAUUUCAGGUAUAGUAACUCCUGCAAUUUCCCCAAAUGUGGAAAAAACUACUGAAUAAUUUGUUGUUGGGUCAGGGGACUAUAUUUCAACUUCCUUUGG